AGAAGCUUGCUUCUUUGCUGACGAGUGGCGGACGGGUGAGUAAUGUCUGGGAAACUGCCUGAUGGAGGGGGAUAACUACUGGAAACGGUAGCUAAUACCGCAUAACGUCGCAAGACCAAAGAGGGGGACCUUCGGGCCUCUUGCCAUCGGAUGUGCCCAGAUGGGAUUAGCUAGUAGGUGGGGUAACGGCUCACCUAGGCGACGAUCCCUAGCUGGUCUGAGAGGAUGACCAGCCACACUGGAACUGAGACACGGUCCAGACUCCUACGGGAGGCAGCAGUGGGGAAUAUUGCACAAUGGGCGCAAGCCUGAUGCAGCCAUGCCGCGUGUAUGAAGAAGGCCUUCGGGUUGUAAAGUACUUUCAGCGGGGAGGAAGGGAGUAAAGUUAAUACCUUUACUCAUUGACGUUACCCGCAGAAGAAGCACCGGCUAACUCCGUGCCAGCAGCCGCGGUAAUACGGAGGGUGCAAGCGUUAAUCGGAAUUACUGGGCGUAAAGCGCACGCAGGCGGUUUGUUAAGUCAGAUGUGAAAUCCCCGGGCUCAACCUGGGAACUGCAUCUGAUACUGGCAAGCUUGAGUCUCGUAGAGGGGGGUAGAAUUCCAGGUGUAGCGGUGAAAUGCGUAGAGAUCUGGAGGAAUACCGGUGGCGAAGGCGGCCCCCUGGACGAAGACUGA
rnacentral:rRNA from 1 species